ensembl:lncRNA
AGGAGGAGCUGUGUGUGCAAUCUGAGCAGGGAUGGAUUUAUUUCGUGCAUCAGAUACAUCUGCAGCGCUCACUUGUUACUCCACAGCCAAAGCUGUGUUUAAAUCAGGCCUUUUAAAGCCUAAAACCUGCUACAAAAUUUCCCCCCUCCAAACAAUCUAGUUAAUUAACCAGCUAACUCAGCUCUGGCUGGCUCUCCCUGCAAAUACCCCAUCCUCAACAAGAUUUUUCCUUAGAUUUGGAUGAAAUGCAAUGAUUGAGUCAUGACUUUUUUCCCUGGCUCAGUUGCUGGAGCAGGGAAUGUUGUUCACAAUACUGGCUGUUGCCAUAUGCUUUUUUCAUCAAGUUAAAGGGUGCAACUUUCUUUUUUGCUUCCCCCUCCACUGACUCACUCCCCAAAUAUGUUUCUGGUUAGGAUGCAUUGUGACUUCUUCCUGACAUAAGGUUUUCUAGUUUGCAGGCAGCUUGGGGAAUCGCCUCUGUGAGUUCUAAAACAUCCCAGCUCCCGGGAGAAGUGUCCUGGAGAGAAGGAGCAGCAGGAUGCUUACCUGGGUGCUUGCAGUCUUUGGGAGCUCUCCUGCCACAGAAAAGGUUUUCCAGAAGCCUGGAAGUCCCACUUGGAGUGAGAUGCUGCCUGUGAAGGAUCUUGGAGGGACAGCCAGACUUGUCCCUCCUGGAAUUCCUUUAAGGCCACCUUGUGCUGAUCCCCAGACCUUCCCCACUGAUGCCAAAUUCCCUUGGAAAAGGAUGUUUCCUAUCCUGCUGCCAUGGGCUUUGGCUUCUCCUCCCACCCUCCCAGGGCCGCGUCUCUCGGCGCAUUCCUCCGCGUCGGAACCUCCGCCUUGCUAUCUAAGGAGCUGAAGGAUAUUUCCAACCCAGCCCUGCCAGAAAAUCCUGGCAGCCACCUCCAUCUCCCGUCCUCCUGCACACACAUCCAGCUCCUCGAGCGCUCUGAUUCCCUGCCGUGUUCAAACGACCGUCACUGACAGGCAGCUCUCCAUCCAGCAGGUUAUUUUCUUUCCUGGCUGGAGGGGUUUUUUUCCCCUUUUCCAAGCCCCAGCUGGUUCCUGCAGUUUCUUCUCCUAGUGGCUGGUUGGACUCUUCCUGCUGAGUGUCCAUGCUGAGAUUUACCUGCAAGUGGGACUGGAGCAAGGCUGUGCCUGGCAUUAACUUCAACCCAGCUUUGCAGAGAAUGGCAGAAUCCCAGAAUGGUUUAGAAGGGACCUUAAAGAUCACCUGGUUCCAACGCUGCUGCCAUGGACAGGGCUGCCACAUGAAGCUGGAAUGAAGCUGCUGCAGCUCCAGCAUCCUCCAGUUCAAACAAUGAGCUGUCAAAAGGCUUUUCUGGCAUCGAGUGGGCACAGCGACCACCCAGGAUUCUUUUUUCUGGCUUUUAAAACCCUCUGAUGGUGGGGUGACUCCUUCAUUCCCUCACAUCUGAACAGCCUCCCCAAAGAGCCACUCUGAGUGUUUCUCCAGGUGAUCUGUCCAUUGCUUUUUGCCCAUCCUUUGUGGAAAAGCAAAACAAGGCAUUUCCUCCCUCUUCCAUCCCUCCCUCCCUAGACAAACCCUCUUUUAUCUACCUGAAGAUGUUAUCAUCAUUCUUUCUUUCUCCGGGGUAAACAGCCUGAAUUCUUUGAACCUUUCCUCACUGGUCACUCUCCUGCCCCACCAGGAUCUGCUGAGGAACUGGGGGUGCUCAGCAGGGCUCUCCAUGAGCCCCCCUGGCCCUUAUUUUGCAGGGAACGUGGGGCUGCACCAGGAGCACCACAGGACCCUUGGCUGCAGAUACCAUGUGUCUUCCAGGAGCUCACAAAUCACCCCCAUUUCACGGGAUUUGGGGGAUUCCCAACACGAUUGCCCAUCCCCAGCCAGCUGAAAGCUCACCUCCCUUUCCUCGGGGAGCUGCUGAUGGCUUCAGAGCGCUCAGACGAAGUUCAUCCCACCCAGCUGAUUCAAUAACAUCGACCUGAUUAAGCCACUUUGCCCUGCUCUGUCUCUAUUUUUCCAGCACUAACUGCAUUACCAUCCCUCUCUUUCCGGUGAAGGCUGGAGCUGGAAAAGCACGAAGCCAUGCAGCUGUCUGGGCAUCAUCCAUCUCCCCCUUCCCCCAGAACAACAGGUUCCUGAACCUGCUGCAGCUUCUCAGGGCAUCUCAGGUGUCAGAGGGGCAAAUAAACGGUGUCAACCCCUUCA